GACAGAGGCCUCGAGCGUUAGGCGGAAUCACUGGGCUUAAAGCGUGUGUAGGCGGAUCGUUAAGUACCUUGUGAAAUCCCACGGCUCAACCGUGGAACGGCUGGGUAUACUGGCGGUCUUGGGCCAUUCAGGGGCGACUGGAACAAGCGGUGGAGCGGUGAAAUGCGUAGAUAUCAGGAAGAACACCCGUGGCGAAGGCGGCUCUCUGGGACGGUACUGACGCUGAGACGCGAAAGCGUGGGGAGCGAACAGG
rnacentral:rRNA from 1 species